GCGCCCGUAGCUCAGUCGGUAGAGCAGCUCCCUUUUAAGGAGAGGGUCGCAGGUUCGAUUCCUGCCGGGCGCA
rnacentral:tRNA from 1 species